rnacentral:rRNA from 1 species
UACGAAGGGGGCUAGCGUUGCUCGGAAUGACUGGGUUUAAAGGGUGCGUAGGUGGGCAGGUAAGUCAGUGGUGAAAUCUCCGAGCUUAACUCGGAAACUGCCAUUGAUACUAUCUGUCUUGAAUUAUCUGGAGGUGAGCGGAAUAUGUCAUGUAGCGGUGAAAUGCUUAGAUAUGACAUAGAACACCAAUUGCGAAGGCAGCUCACUACGGAUACAUUGACACUGAGGCACGAAAGCGUGGGGAUCAAACAGG